AAUAGAUACCCGGGUAGUCCACGCCGUAAACGAUGAGUGCUAAGUGUUAGGGGGUUUCCGCCCCUUAGUGCUGCAGCUAACGCAUUAAGCACUCCGCCUGGGGAGUACGGUCGCAAGACUGAAACUCAAAGGAAUUGACGGGGGCCCGCACAAGCGGUGGAGCAUGUGGUUUAAUUCGAAGCAACGCGAAGAACCUUACCAGGUCUUGACAUCCCAUUGACCACUAUGGAGACAUAGUUUUCCCUUCGGGGACAACGGUGACAGGUGGUGCAUGGUUGUCGUCAGCUCGUGUCGUGAGAUGUUGGGUUAAGUCCCGCAACGAGCGCAACCCUUGUUCUUAGUUGCCAUCAUUUAGUUGGGCACUCUAAGGAGACUGCCGGUGACAAACCGGAGGAAGGUGGGGAUGACGUCAAAUCAUCAUGCCCCUUAUGACCGUGGGCUACACACGUGCUACAAUGGACGGUACAAACGGUUGCCAACCCGCGAGGGGAGCUAAUCCGAUAAAACCGUUCUCAGUUCGGAUUGUAGGCUGCAACUCGCCUACA
rnacentral:rRNA from 1 species